rnacentral:rRNA from 1 species
GUGGGGAAUUUUGGACAAUGGGCGCAAGCCUGAUCCAGCAAUGCCGCGUGAGUGAAGAAGGCCUUCGGGUUGUAAAGCUCUUUUGUCAGGGAAGAAACGGCUGUGGCUAAUAUCCAUGGCUAAUGACGGUACCUGAAGAAUAAGCACCGGCUAACUACGUGCCAGCAGCCGCGGUAAUACGUAGGGUGCAAGCGUUAAUCGGAAUUACUGGGCGUAAAGCGUGCGCAGGCGGUUUUGUAAGUCUGACGUGAAAUCCCCGGGCUCAACCUGGGAAUUGCGUUGGAGACUGCAAGGCUAGAAUCUGGCAGAGGGGGGUAGAAUUCCACGUGUAGCAGUGAAAUGCGUAGAGAUGUGGAGGAACACCGAUGGCGAAGGCAGCCCCCUGGGUCAAGAUUGACGCUCAUGCACGAAAGCGUGGGGAGCAA